UAAGAGGUCCCGCCUGCCCUGUGACAACAUGUUUAACGGCCGCGGUAUCCUAACCGUGCGAAGGUAGCGCAAUCACUUGUCUUUUAAAUAAGGACCUGUAUGAAUGGCACAACGAGGGCUUAACUGUCUCCUUUUUCCAGUCAAUGAAAUUGAUCUUCCCGUGCAGAAGCGGGAAUAACAACAUAAGACGAGAAGACCCUGUGGAGCUUUAGAUAAUGAGCUGACCAAACUAAAGACCCCCAAAACAGAGCCAAAAUUUUGACCACAGCUCUACAUCUUCGGUUGGGGCGACCGCGGAGGAACAAAAAUCCCCCACGCAGACUAGGUGAACAAUUAUAUCACCCAAAACCAAGAACUACAAUUCAAAGAAACAGAAUCUCUGACUUUAAAAUGACCCGGCUCAUUAAGCCGAUCAACGAACCAAGUUACCCCAGGGAUAACAGCGCAAUCCUCUUCUAGAGUCCAUAUCGACAAGAGGGCUUACGACCUCGAUGUUGGAUCAGGACAUCCUAAUGGUGCAGCCGCUAUUAAGGGUUCGUUUGUUCAACGAUUAAAGUCC
rnacentral:rRNA from 1 species